CCACAGAAUAUUUUGCCAGUACUGCUGUGGAACAUCCAGGUGCUCUUGUGCAAACAGUAAACGUGCAGCAAUGUUUUGUUUGGACAGCAGUGGUAUCCUCCCAUGAAAUCCAUUCUUGUUUAGUGUUUUACGUAUUGUAGAUUCGCUAACAGGGAUGUUAGCAUUUGCCAGUGACUUUAAGUCUUUAGCUGACACUCUAGGAUUCUUCACCUCAUUGAGCAGUCUGCGCUGUGCUCUUGCAGUCAUCUUUACAGGACGGCCACUCCUAGGGAGAGUAGCAGCAGUGCUGAACUUUCUCCAUUUAUAGACA